rnacentral:rRNA from 1 species
GAUGAACGCUGGCGGCGUGCCUAAUACAUGCAAGUCGAGCGAACAGACGAGGAGCUUGCUCCUCUGACGUUAGCGGCGGACGGGUGAGUAACACGUGGAUAACCUACCUAUAAGACUGGGAUAACUUCGGGAAACCGGAGCUAAUACCGGAUAAUAUAUUGAACCGCAUGGUUCAAUAGUGAAAGACGGUUUUGCUGUCACUUAUAGAUGGAUCCGCGCCGCAUUAGCUAGUUGGUAAGGUAACGGCUUACCAAGGCAACGAUGCGUAGACGACCUGAGAGGGUGAUAGGCCACCCUGGAACGGAGCCAGGGUCCAGGCUCCUACGGGAGGCAGCAGUAGGGAACCUUCCGCAAUGGGCGAAAGCCUGACGGAGCAAGGCCGCGUGAGAGAUGAAGGUCUUCGGAUCGUAAAACUCUGUUAUUAGGGAAGAACAAAUGUGUAAGUAACUAUGCACGUCUUGACGGUACCUAAUCAGAAAGCCACGGCUAACUACGUG